rnacentral:rRNA from 1 species
UACGGGGGGAGCAAGCGUUGUUCGGAUUUACUGGGCGUAAAGGGCGUGUAGGCGGCGUGACAAGUCACUUGUGAAAUCUCCGGGCUUAACUCGGAACGGUCAAGUGAUACUGUCGUGCUAGAGUACAGAAGGGGCAACUGGAAUUCUCGGUGUAGCGGUGAAAUGCGUAGAGAUCGGGAAGAACAUCGGUGGCGAAGGCGCUCUACUGGACCACAACUGACACUCAGGGACGAAAGCUAGGGGAGCGAAUGGG